GCAGUAGCCGCGGGAAUACAGAGGGUGCGAGCGUUAAUCGGAUUUACUGGGCGUAAAGCGUGCGUAGGCGGCUAAUUGAGUCGGAUGUGAAAUCCCUGAGCUUAACUUGGGAAUUGCAUUCGAUACUGGUUAGCUAGAGUGUGGGAGAGGAUGGUAGAAUUCCAGGUGUAGCGGUGAAAUGCGUAGAGAUCUGGAGGAAUACCGAUGGCGAAGGCAGCCAUCUGGCCUAACACUGACGCUGAGGUACGAAAGCAUGGGGAGCAAACAGGAUUAGAUACCCCCGUAGUCCCUGUCUCUUAUAC
rnacentral:rRNA from 1 species